GAUGAACGCUGGCGGCGUGCUUAACACAUGCAAGUCGAACGAUGAAGCCCAGCUUGCUUGGUGUUUUAGUGGCGAACUGGUGGGUAACACGUGAGUAACCUGCCCUUAACUCUGGGAUAGGCCUGGGAGACUGGGUCUAAUACCUGAUAGGAGCGUCCACCGCAUGGUGGGUGUUGGAAAGAUUUAUCCGUUUUGGCUUGACUCGCGGCCUAUCAGCUUGUUGGUGGUGUAAUGGCUCACCAAGGCCACGGCGGGUAUCCGGCCUGAGAGGGUGACCGGCCACCAUGGGACUGCGACACGGCGCAGACUGCAACGGGAGGCAGCAGUGGCGAAUCUUGCACAAUGGGCGCAAGUCUGAUGCAGAGACGCCGCGUGAGGGAUGCCCGCCUUCGGGUUGUAAACCUCUUUCAGUAGGGACGAAGCGAAAGUGACGGUACCUGCAGAAGAAGCACCGGCUAACUACGUG
rnacentral:rRNA from 1 species